ACAAAGGUGUCUAAUUAGAAUGCUAUAUGGACACGAAAUAUAGACUUCUGUUUUCACAGGAAAACUUUGAUCAGUAAGAAGGAGAGGCUGAAGUUUGAGGACUCCAGUGUUGGAAGCCACAGAAGCUGAAAGGUUGAAGAUCUGAAGCAGCAGGAUGCAAACAUCCCUUUUCCAAAUUUGAAUGAGAUGCUACCAGUUUGUCUUACUGUAUUUUGUCAGGUGAAGGCCAACUUACAUCUCAAAUUUGAUUGAAACCGGAAAGACUAUGCCCUUCGUUCAGCCUAUGAACAAAAUGUCUGACAUGGGCCGAACUGCAUUUGGGUCUGACUCCUCUCCCAGCCUCUACCUGUUCUCACCUCACUUUACCUCAGAGAUGUUUCCCCUAAUGAGCUUCCCCGAUGCUGCUUCUUGGAGGAUCUGCAUCAACACAUUGUCUAACUCAAUCUUCCCAAUCUAAUGAGCUAUUGAGGACGAUAUGAAAUUGACCCUCAGGGAUUUUGAAGUCUGCAUUCUGGUUCCCCUGCUAGUGAGUGGUAGGCUUCAAACCCAUCUCAAAGUGGGGGUUGGCUUCGGCUGUCUCUUGACUCUUCUGGUACCACACUGUCUAGGACCCCUGGCUGUACCCAUCACUACUUUCUAUGCUACUUUGCCUUUUGACAAGUUCUAUAGUGAAAAAGGGAAUAGAUAAAAAUUAGCCUAAAGCUCUCUGCUAAAAGAAAAAAAGAAAAAAGAUCUGGAAGGCAAGUUGUUAAUAGAAAACAUUCACCCUUUUCCAAGAAUAACUUACAAUUUAAGCUUCUCCGUAUGUGUCACUGACAGGGAGCUGUCUGGCUACAUGAAUAUGUUGUUUUUCUCUUUUUUUCCCCCUUACACCCCUUUUUAGGUAAAUCAGAGCUGCAAGUGCUGUAUCUGUUUUUCAGAGAUAACAUGUGAAUUUGUGACAUUCCCUGUGGAGUUUGAGGUCUAGGAACCUAUGAAGAGAUCACAACGAAACACAAGCAUUCUGUUUCCAAGUGCUAGAGUGAUUAUUGUCUGGAAAUCUUAGCAUUAUUCAAAAGGCAUCUCUUCUCAUUUGGAUCAGGCAGCGGUGUGUUUUCUGAAGGCGAGAAGGCCUUUCAAUAAAAGCUGGUACAGAGUGGGGCUGCCGGCUGCUUGGGGUGCAAUGGAGGCCAGCAGUAAAAGCCACGGUAGCUUCGGGGAACCUCCAGCAAGUCUAACCGGAUCCUAAUGAACGGAAGGCCCCGUGGGGAGGUGUAGAAA